AUUGAACGCUGGCGGCAGGCCUAACACAUGCAAGUCGAGCGAGCGGCGGACGGGUGAGUAAUGUAUGGGGACUGCCCGAUAGAGGGGGCUAACUACUGGAAACGGUGGCUAAUACCGCAUACUAUCGGAUAACCCAUAUUGGAUUAGCUAGUAGGUGGGGUAAAGGCUCACCUAGGCGACGAUCUCUAGCUGGUCUGAGAGGAUGAUAGUGCACCCUGGGACUGCGAAACGGCCCAUAAUCCUACGGAGGCAGCAGUGGGGAAUAGUGCACAAUGGGCGCCAGCCUGAUGCAGCCAUGCCGCGGGUAUGAAGAAGGCCUUAGGGUUGUAAAGUACUUUCAGCGGAGAAGCGUUACCCGCAGAAGAAGCACCGGCUAACUCCGUGCCAGCCGCCGCGGUAAUUC
rnacentral:rRNA from 1 species